rnacentral:rRNA from 1 species
GAGUUUGAUCCUGUGCUCAGGAUGAACGCUAGCGGCAGGCUUCAUACCAUGCUAAGUCGCAGGGGCAGCCAUAAUAUUACUUAGUANUUUAGAUGGCGAUCCGGCGAAUCGGGUGACGUAACGCGUAUGCUACUGUACCUUUUACUACGAGAAUAGCCGAAGAGAAAUUUUGAUUAAUGCUCUAUGUUCUUAUUUACUCGGCAUGAGUAACAUAAGCAAAGCUCCGGGCGGUAAAAGAUGGGCAUGCGUCCUAUUAGCUUGUAGGUGAGGUAAUGGCUCACCUAAGCUCCGAUAGGUAGGGGUCCUGAGAGGGAGAUCCCCCACACUGGUACUGAGACACGGACCAGACUUCUACGGAAGGCAGCAGUAAGGAAUAUUGGACAAUGGAGGCAACUCUGAUCCAGCCAUGCCGCGUGAAGGAAGACGGCCUUAUGGGUUGUAAACUUCUUUUAUACAGGGAAGAAACCUUUCCCACGUGUGGAAAGCUGACGGUACUGUAAGAAUAAGGAUCGGCUAACUCCGUGCCAGCAGCCGCGGUAAUACGGAGGAUCCAAGCGUUAUCCGGAAUUACUGGGCGUAAAGCGCACGCAGGCGGUUGGUUAACGUCCGAUGUGGACAGCCCCGGGCUCAACCUGGGGAACUGCAUUUGAUAACU